UACACCCACCCCACUAGCAACAAUCCAGUUAUUAUUACUAGUGUCUAAGUCUCUUAUAUAUCCAAUAUAUUCAAUCACAUCCCUAUAGUGUCAAGUCUCUUAUAUAUCCAAUGUAUCCAAUCACAUCCACAUUUCUAUCCGUGGGAUUAAUUUCUAUCCAUGAGAUUAUUGGGGUGUGACAGACUCUCCCCGCUAAAUCCCUGACGUCCUCAUUAGUCCCCAGUCAUACACACGGCCAAAGAUUACCAGGCAAUGUGUGACUCGUCUCACUAGCCUUGUUAUCCAGAUCUUGAUAUAGCUGGUCAGCUUGUCAUUCAGACUCUGAUAUAGUAUAUCACUUUGUCUUUCAGACACUGACUCAGCCGCCGGCAUAGUCUAUCACAUUGUCUUUCAGACUCUGAUUCAGCCGAGACUCGGUACAUAUUUUCGGCUGAUUAGCCGGCUCUGAUACCAAAUAUAACGAUCCAGUCCACUAGCAACAAUAACUCGGCAAAGCCUAUCACUUUGUCUUUCAGACUAUGACUCAGUCGAGACUCGCCACACAUUUGCGGCUGGUGAACCGGCUUUGAUACCAAAUGUAACGACCCAGUUCACUAGCAAUAAUAACUCGUUGGACCCAAACACCAAUCUAAAAUGCUAAAACCUAAUUAUUAUUGCUAGUGUCUAAGUCUUAUAUAUAUCCAAUUACAUUCCUAUUUCUAUCCGAUAUCGGAUUAUUGAGGUAUGGCACAAGGAUGUAAUCUAGCCUUUUUCUCAU
rnacentral:lncRNA from 1 species